GUUUAAAUGAAUGAACUAGUUGAAGAAAUAGAAAUGAAGAAAAUAUUGCCACUUUGCUUGCAGGAAAAAGAUACUCAUCAAAAGCUUCAGCAAACUGAGCUUGAAUAUUCUGCUGCUUGACUUUUCUUAGAGCUUGAACAGAAAGUCCAUAUUGCCUAAUAAUGCUACUUUUGUAGUGUUUGCCUUUCUAAGGCAAUUUUUUUUUUAUUUUAUUACAAAUUAACCAAUCUGACUGAUUCUGCCAUUAUUUUAUUGCAGGGGCAUGGAGGAGUUACCAGGGAAGAAAUAUUUUUUAGCCUUAUGCUUAAACUGAACACAACAUCAGGAACUUCUGGAACCAGCGUGUUCAAGUGUGAGAAAAUGGAAAAGAAACAUAGCAAUAACUCCUGAACCAAUAUUUUGCAGAAGGGAACGCAGUCAGUAUGCUCAAAGCAUGCUGGCUUCAGUCCACCUCCCCACCCCCUAAGAAAAAGAAAAAAAAAAAAAAAAAGAAAUAUUGACUGAAAGCAUAAAGAAUGCAACCCAGCUCCAGAAGACAGGGCUGAGAAACAUCGAGUUCUGAGCUUUGUUUGUCCCCAGGCUUGUACUGAAACAGCUCUGAGGUGUAAAUAAAGCAGCAGGGGUUUGUCA
rnacentral:lncRNA from 1 species